AGAGUUUGAUCAUGGCUCAGAACGUACGCUGGCGGCACGCCUAACACAUGCAAGUCGAACGAAGUAGCAAUACUUAGUGGCAGACGGGUGAGUAACAUGUAGGUAUCUGCCCUUUGGCCUGGAAUAACACGAGGAAACUUGUGCUAAUACCGGAUAAGUCUUUACGGAGAAAGCUUUAUGCACCAUUGGAUGAGCCUGCACUUGAUUAGUUUGUUGGUGGGGUAAUGGCCUACCAAGACUGUGAUCAAUAGCUGAUUUGAGAGGAUGAUCAGCCACAUUGGGACUGAGACACGGCCCAAACUCCUACGGGAGGCAGCAGUGGGGAAUCUUGCACAAUGGAGGAAACUCUGAUGCAGCGAUGCCGCGUGAGUGAAGAAGGCCCUUGGGUUGUAAAGCUCUUUCGUCGGGGAAGAAAAUGACUGUACCCGAAUAAGAAGGUCCGGCUAACUUCGUGCCAGCAGCCGCGGUAAUACGAAGGGACCUAGCGUAGUUCGGAAUUACUGGGCUUAAAGAGUUCGUAGGUGGUUGAAAAAGUUAGUGGUGAAAUCCCAGAGCUUAACUCUGGAACUGCCAUUAAAACUUUUCAGCUAGAGUAUGAUAGAGGAAAGCAGAAUUUCUAGUGUAGAGGUGAAAUUCGUAGAUAUUAGAAAGAAUACCAAUUGCGAAGGCAGCUUUCUGGAUCAUUACUGACACUGAGGAACGAAAGCAUGGGUAGCGAAGAGGAUUAGAUACCCUCGUAGUCCAUGCCGUAAACGAUGUGUGUUAGACGUUGGAAAUUUAUUUUCAGUGUCGCAGGGAAACCGAUAAACACACCGCCUGGGGAGUACGACCGCAAGGUUAAAACUCAAAUGAAUUGACGGGGACCCGCACAAGUAGUGGAGCAUGUGGUUUAAUUCGAAGAUACGCGCAGAACCUUACCAACACUUGACAUGUUCGUCGCGACUCUAAGAGAUUAGAGUUUUCGGUUCGGCCGGACGAAACACAGGUGCUGCAUGGCUGUCGUCAGCUCGUGUCGUGAGAUGUUGGGUUAAGUCCCGCAACGAGCGCAACCCUCACUUUUAGUUGCCAUCAUUAAGUUGGGCACUCUGAAAGAACUGCCAGUGAUAAGCUGGAGGAAGGUGGGGAUGACGUCAAGUCCUCAUGGCCCUUACGUGUUGGGCUACACACGUGCUACAAUGGUAUCUACAACAGGAAGCAAGACUGCGAAGUUAAGCAAAUCCCUAAAAGAUACCUCAGUUCGGAUUGCACUCUGCAACUCGAGUGCAUGAAGCUGGAAUUACUAGUAAUCGUGGAUCAGCGUGCCACGGUGAAUGCGUUCCCGGGUCUUGUACACACCGCCCGUCACACCAUGGGAGUUGGUUCUACCUUAAGGCAAGGUUUCAAACCCUUGACCACGGUAUAGUCAGCGACUGGGGUGAAGUCGUAACAAGGUAAA
rnacentral:rRNA from 1 species